GACGAACGCUGGCGGCAUGCCUAACACAUGCAAGUCGAACGAAAACUUCGUGUCUUGUUGCGCUGGGCUGCGUACCGCGUGGUAAGCUGCCCUUAGGUUCGCAAUAACUCCCCGAAAGGGGUCCUAAUACCGGAUAAUGUCAUCGGACCUAAGAUUUAUCGCCUUUGGAUGGGCCCGCGUUGGUUUCGCUAGUUGGUAGGGUAAAAGCCUACCAAGGGGACGAUGCAUAGCUGGUCUGGGAGGAUGAUCAGCCACACUGGGGAUGAGACACGGCCCAGACUCCUACGGAAGGCAGCAGUGGGGAAUAUUGGACAAUGGGCGAAAGCCUGAUCCAGCAAUGCCGCGUGAGUGAGGAAGGCCUGAGGGUUGUAAAGCUCUUUUACCCGGGAUGAGAAUGACAGUACCGGGAGAAUAAGCGCCGGCUAACUACGUG
rnacentral:rRNA from 1 species